UCCGACUUAACGUCGGCAGUCCUUCUAGAGUGCCCAACUAAAUGCUGGCAACUAAAAGCAAGGGUUGCGCUCGUUGCGGGACUUAACCCAACAUCUCACGACACGAGCUGACGACAGCCAUGCAGCACCUGUGUACCGGCCCUUGCGGGCGACGCCGUCUCCGGCAGUCUUCCAGUACAUGUCAAGACCAGGUAAGGUUCUUCGCGUUGCAUCGAAUUAAACCACAUGCUCCACCGCUUGUGCGGGCCCCCGUCAAUUUCUUUGAGUUUUAAUCUUGCGACCGUACUCCCCAGGCGGGAUACUUAACGCGUUAGCUUCGCCACUGAAGGGGUCAAUACCUCCAACGGCAAGUAUCCAUCGUUUACAGUGCGGACUAC
rnacentral:misc_RNA from 1 species